UACAGAGGUCUCAAGCGUUUGUUCGGAUUCAUUGGGCGUAAAGGGUGCGUAGGCGGCGCAGAAAGUAGGGUGUGAAAGCCCUCGGCUCAACCGAGGAAUUGCGCUCUAAACUACUGUGCUUGAGGAAUCUAGAGGUGAGCGGAACUGAUGGUGGAGCGGUGAAAUGCGUUGAUAUCAUCAGGAACACCAAUGGCGAAGGCAGCUCACUGGGACGAUACUGACGCUGAGACGCGAAAGCGUGGGGAGCAAACAGG
rnacentral:rRNA from 1 species